rnacentral:rRNA from 1 species
GACGGGGGGGGCAAGUGUUCUUCGGAAUGACUGGGCGUAAAGGGCACGUAGGCGGUGAAUCGGGUUGAAAGUGAAAGUCGCCAAAAAGUGGCGGAAUGCUCUCGAAACCAAUUCACUUGAGUGAGACAGAGGAGAGUGGAAUUUCGUGUGUAGGGGUGAAGUCCGUAGAUCUACGAAGGAACGCCAAAAGCGAAGGCAGCUCUCUGGGUCCCUACCGACGCUGGGGUGCGAAAGCAUGGGGGAGCGAACAGG